rnacentral:rRNA from 1 species
CCCAGACUCCUACGGGAGGCAGCAGUGGGGAAUAUUGGGCAAUGGGCGCAAGCCUGACCCAGCAACGCCGCGUGAAGGAAGAAGGCUUUCGGGUUGUAAACUUCUUUUCUCAGGGACGAAGCAAGUGACGGUACCUGAGGAAUAAGCCACGGCUAACUACGUGCCAGCAGCCGCGGUAAUACGUAGGUGGCAAGCGUUAUCCGGAUUUACUGGGUGUAAAGGGCGUGUAGGCGGGACUGCAAGUCAGAUGUGAAACCCAUGGGCUCAACCCAUGGCCUGCAUUUGAAACUGUAGUUCUUGAGUGAUGGAGAGGCAGGCGGAAUUCCUGGUGUAGCGGUGAAAUGCGUAGAUAUCAGGAGGAACACCGGCGGCGAAGGCGGCCUGCUGGACCGAAACUGACGUUGAGGCUCGAAAGCGUGGGGAGCAAACAGGAUUAGAUACCCGAGUA